GGGCCGUUAACUCAGUUGGCAGAGUAUCUGCCUUUUAAGCAGAGAGUCGCUGGUUCGAAUCCAGCACGGCCUA
rnacentral:tRNA from 1 species